CUACGGGUGGCAGCAGUGAGGAAUUUUGCGCAAUGGGGGAAACCCUGACGCAGCAACGCCGCGUGAGUGAUGAAGGCCUUCGGGUCGUAAAGCUCUGUCAAGUGGGAAGAACCCACCCUGUGCUAAUAUCACAGGGUGCUGACGGUACCACUGAAGGAAGCACCGGCUAACUCCGUGCCAGCAGCCGCGGUAAUACGGAGGGUGCAAGCGUUAUUCGGAAUUACUGGGCGUAAAGGGCGCGUAGGCGGCCUUUUAAGUCAGAUGUGAAAUCCCGGGGCUCAACCCCGGAAGUGCAUCUGAAACUAAGAGGCUUGAGUAUGGGAGAGGGAAGUGGAAUUCCUGGUGUAGAGGUGAAAUUCGUAGAUAUCAGGAGGAACACCGGUGGCGAAGGCGACUUCCUGGACCAAUACUGACGCUGAGGCGCGAAGGCGUGGGGAGCAAACAGGAUUAGAUACCCCUGUAGUC
rnacentral:rRNA from 1 species